AGGGCGCACGGUGGAUGCCUUGGCACUAGAAGCCGAUGAAGGACGUUACUAACGACGAUAUGCUUUGGGGAGCUGUAAGUAAGCUUUGAUCCAGAGAUUUCCGAAUGGGGAAACCCAGCAUGAGUUAUGUCAUGUUAUCGAUAUGUGAAUACAUAGCAUAUCAGAAGGCACACCCGGAGAACUGAAACAUCUUAGUACCCGGAGGAAGAGAAAGAAAAUUCGAUUCCCUUAGUAGCGGCGAGCGAAACGGGAAGAGCCCAAACCAACAAGCUUGCUUGUUGGGGUUGUAGGACACUCUAUACGGAGUUACAAAGGACGACAUUAGACGAAUCAUCUGGAAAGAUGAAUCAAAGAAGGUAAUAAUCCUGUAGUCGAAAAUGUUGUCUCUCUUGAGUGGAUCCUGAGUACGACGGAGCACGUGAAAUUCCGUCGGAAUCUGGGAGGACCAUCUCCUAAGGCUAAAUACUCUCUAGUGACCGAUAGUGAACCAGUACCGUGAGGGAAAGGUGAAAAGCACCCCGGAAGGGGAGUGAAAUAGAACCUGAAACCGUGUGCUUACAAGUAGUCAGAGCCCGUUAAUGGGUGAUGGCGUGCCUUUUGUAGAAUGAACCGGCGAGUUACGAUUUGAUGCAAGGUUAAGCAGUAAAUGUGGAGCCGUAGCGAAAGCGAGUCUGAAUAGGGCGUUUAGUAUUUGGUCGUAGACCCGAAACCAGGUGAUCUACCCUUGGUCAGGUUGAAGUUCAGGUAACACUGAAUGGAGGACCGAACCGACUUACGUUGAAAAGUGAGCGGAUGAACUGAGGGUAGCGGAGAAAUUCCAAUCGAACCUGGAGAUAGCUGGUUCUCUCCGAAAUAGCUUUAGGGCUAGCCUCAAGUGAUGAUUAUUGGAGGUAGAGCACUGUUUGGACGAGGGGCCCCUCUCGGGUUACCGAAUUCAGACAAACUCCGAAUGCCAAUUAAUUUAACUUGGGAGUCAGAACAUGGGUGAUAAGGUCCGUGUUCGAAAGGGAAACAGCCCAGACCACCAGCUAAGGUCCCAAAAUAUAUGUUAAGUGGAAAAGGAUGUGGCGUUGCCCAGACAACUAGGAUGUUGGCUUAGAAGCAGCCAUCAUUUAAAGAGUGCGUAAUAGCUCACUAGUCGAGUGACACUGCGCCGAAAAUGUACCGGGGCUAAACAUAUUACCGAAGCUGUGGAUUGUCCUUUGGACAAUGGUAGGAGAGCGUUCUAAGGGCGUUGAAGCAUGAUCGUAAGGACAUGUGGAGCGCUUAGAAGUGAGAAUGCCGGUGUGAGUAGCGAAAGACGGGUGAGAAUCCCGUCCACCGAUUGACUAAGGUUUCCAGAGGAAGGCUCGUCCGCUCUGGGUUAGUCGGGUCCUAAGCUGAGGCCGACAGGCGUAGGCGAUGGAUAACAGGUUGAUAUUCCUGUACCACCUAUAAUCGUUUUAAUCGAUGGGGGGACGCAGUAGGAUAGGCGAAGCGUGCGAUUGGAUUGCACGUCUAAGCAGUAAGGCUGAGUAUUAGGCAAAUCCGGUACUCAUUAAGGCUGAGCUGUGAUGGGGAGAAGACAUUGUGUCUUCGAGUCGUUGAUUUCACACUGCCGAGAAAAGCCUCUAGAUAGAAAAUAGGUGCCCGUACCGCAAACCGACACAGGUAGUCAAGAUGAGAAUUCUAAGGUGAGCGAGCGAACUCUCGUUAAGGAACUCGGCAAAAUGACCCCGUAACUUCGGGAGAAGGGGUGCUCUUUAGGGUUAACGCCCAGAAGAGCCGCAGUGAAUAGGCCCAAGCGACUGUUUAUCAAAAACACAGGUCUCUGCUAAACCGUAAGGUGAUGUAUAGGGGCUGACGCCUGCCCGGUGCUGGAAGGUUAAGAGGAGUGGUUAGCUUCUGCGAAGCUACGAAUCGAAGCCCCAGUAAACGGCGGCCGUAACUAUAACGGUCCUAAGGUAGCGAAAUUCCUUGUCGGGUAAGUUCCGACCCGCACGAAAGGCGUAACGAUUUGGGCACUGUCUCAACGAGAGACUCGGUGAAAUCAUAGUACCUGUGAAGAUGCAGGUUACCCGCGACAGGACGGAAAGACCCCGUGGAGCUUUACUGUAGCCUGAUAUUGAAAUUCGGCACAGCUUGUACAGGAUAGGUAGGAGCCUUUGAAACGUGAGCGCUAGCUUACGUGGAGGCGCUGGUGGGAUACUACCCUAGCUGUGUUGGCUUUCUAACCCGCACCACUUAUCGUGGUGGGAGACAGUGUCAGGCGGGCAGUUUGACUGGGGCGGUCGCCUCCUAAAAGGUAACGGAGGCGCUCAAAGGUUCCCUCAGAAUGGUUGGAAAUCAUUCAUAGAGUGUAAAGGCAUAAGGGAGCUUGACUGCGAGACCUACAAGUCGAGCAGGGUCGAAAGACGGACUUAGUGAUCCGGUGGUUCCGCAUGGAAGGGCCAUCGCUCAACGGAUAAAAGCUACC
rnacentral:rRNA from 1 species